AGCGAACGCUGGCGGCAGGCCUAACACAUGCAAGUCGAACGAACCUUUCGGGGUUAGUGGCGGACGGGUGAGUAACACGUGGGAACGUGCCUUUAGGUUCGGAAUAACUCAGGGAAACUUGUGCUAAUACCGAAUGUGCCCUUCGGGGGAAAGAUUUAUCGCCUUUAGAGCGGCCCGCGUCUGAUUAGCUAGUUGGUUGAGGUAAUGGCUCACCAAGGCGACGAUCAGUAGCUGGUCUGAGAGGAUGAUCAGCCACAUUGGGACUGAGACACGGCCCAAACUCCUACGGGAGGCAGCAGGGGGGAAUCUUGCGCAAGGGGCGAAAGCCUGACGCAGCCAUGCCGCGUGAAUGAUGAAGGUCUUAGGAUUGUAAAAUUCUUUCACCGGGGACGAUAAUGACGGUACCCGGAGAAGAAGCCCCGGCUAACUUCGUG
rnacentral:rRNA from 1 species